rnacentral:tRNA from 1 species
GCGGGUGUGGCGGAAUUGGCAGACGCACCAGACUUAGGAUCUGGCGCCGUAAGGUGUGGGGGUUCGACUCCCUUCACCCGCACCA